GUGCCUACGGGAGGCAGCAGUGAGGAAUAUUGGUCAAUGGGCGCGAGCCUGAACCAGCCAAGUAGCGUGAAGGAUGACUGCCCUAUGGGUUGUAAACUUCUUUUAUAAAGGAAUAAAACGAGGCACGUGUGCCUUUUUGCAUGUACUUUAUGAAUAAGGAUCGGCUAACUCCGUGCCAGCAGCCGCGGUAAUACGGAGGAUCCGAGCGUUAUCCGGAUUUAUUGGGUUUAAAGGGAGCGUAGGUGGAUUGUUAAGUCAGUUGUGAAAGUUUGCGGCUCAACCGUAAAAUUGCAGUUGAAACUGGC
rnacentral:rRNA from 1 species